AUUCCUACCGAUCUUCUACAUCUGCUAGCACCGCCUGUCCAGAGUCGCCACGUUGUCCAACCAAGCCAGAGCCCAUCAUGACUUGUGGCUAUGCAGGUAAGCAUUGGGUCUUGAAAAUAUCCAUCCGUCCCUUUGAGCCUGGGUGAAGCUUUCCGCAGGAUGUCAUGGCCUCUCCAGCAUCCCGGGUCAUCCACUGGGUUCUCCAG
rnacentral:lncRNA from 1 species